rnacentral:tRNA from 1 species
CGGGGCGUGGCGCAGUCCGGUAGCGCACCUGGCUGGGGGCCAGGUGGUCGGAGGUUCAAAUCCUCUCGCCCCGACCA